rnacentral:rRNA from 1 species
UACGUAGGGGGCAAGCGUUGUCCGGAUUUAUUGGGCGUAAAGAGCGUGUAGGCGGCCAUACAGGUCAGCUGUGAAAACUCGAGGCUCAACCUCGAGACGUCGGUUGAAACCGUAUGGCUAGAGUCCGGAAGGGGAGAGUGGAAUUCCCGGUGUAGCGGUGAAAUGCGCAGAUAUCGGGAAGAACACCCGUGGCGAAGGCGGCUCUCUGGGACGGUACUGACGCUGAGACGCGAAAGCGUGGGGAGCGAACAGG